AGCGCAGGCGGACUGGUGUGUCAGGCGUGAAAUCUCGGGGCUCAACCCCGAGGCUGCGCCCGAAACUACUAGUCUAGAGGACUUGGAGGGGUAAGCGGAAUUCUUGGUGGAGCAGUGAAAUGCGUAGAUAUCAAGAGGAACACCAACGGCGAAGGCAGCUUACUGGACAAGAUCUGACGCUCAGGCUCGAAAGCGUGGGGAGCAAAAG
rnacentral:rRNA from 1 species